rnacentral:rRNA from 1 species
UACGGGGGGAGCAAGCGUUGUUCGGAUUUACUGGGCGUAAAGGGCGCGUAGGCGGCCACUGCAAGUCAGUUGUGAAAUCUCCGGGCUUAACCCGGAAAGGUCAGCUGAUACUGCAGGGCUAGAGUGCAGAAGGGGCAACUGGAAUUCUCGGUGUAGCGGUGAAAUGCGUAGAUAUCGAGAGGAACACCUGCGGCGAAGGCGGGUUGCUGGGCUGACACUGACGCUGAAGCGCGAAAGCUAGGGGAGCGAACGGG